AGCCCAGCAGAAACCCCUGGCCUCCUGGAAGGGGAGGUCAGAGGCCACUUCCGGGUGGUGGGGCCAGCUGAGUCAGCAGCUCCCUCCCCUCUUGACUGGCUGCCCCAAGCUCGGGUCUUGUUGGAGAUUUCAGAUACACAAACCCCAAGCUUUCCGGAGGACGUUCUGUAGGACACAGACGCUUGGAUGUUACUGGAUGCCUCAUGGGAAACAGGUCAUGAAGGACAGUGAGUCCAGCGUGGGCUGCAGGGCUGGGAGAUGCCGCCAGGAGGCCAGAGCCGGGGGCUCUGAGAGGCAACCAGGCCAUCUUGCCCCGGAAGAUGACUCAGAAUGGCACGUGAAUGUGAUGCUUAUUGGGAAGCUGAGGCUCCAGGCACCUGACCUGCAUUGCUCUUUAUUGAUGAGGCAAACGUGACCACCCUCAUCCUGUAAAUACCCGUCCUCGGCCCUUGGAUAGGCAGCCUCUUUUCUCUGCUGUGAACCUCGGCGUCUCAGCAUCUGGCUCAGUGACACUUCUGCCUCUGCUCCAUCCAUGCCUUUCUCUACUCUGCAGCUAGAGCCCCGCAAACUAACUCGGGGUCAUCGUGAAGGUAGGGUCCCCAUCGCCCUCAUCCGCUCAGCUCCCUGGGCGCAAGCCACUGAGCACCAUGGGCCCCAAACCACCCUCCCCAAAACCAGGCCCCAGGCCCAACCACUGGCACCCUGGCCCCUUUUUUUUUUUUUGGCUG